CACAUGCAAGUCGAACGGAGAUCAUUUGGUAGAAGUUUUCGGAUGGACACUGAGUGAUCUUAGUGGCGAACGGGUGAGUAACGCGUGAGCAAUCUGCCUCAGAGUGGGGGACAACAGUUGGAAACAGGUGCUAAUACCGGACAACAAUGAUGGUUGCAUGACCAUUAUUUGAAAGGCGGCGCAAGCUGUCACUUUAGGAUGAGCCCGCGGUGCAUUAGCUAGUUGGUGAGGUAACGGCUCACCAAGGCCAUGAUGCAUAGCCGAGUUGAGAGACUGAUCGGCCACAUUGGGACUGAGACACGGCCCAAACUCCUACGGGAGGCAGCAGUGAGGAAUAUUGGUCAAUGGACGGAAGUCUGAACCAGCCAAGUAGCGUGCAGGAUGACGGCCCUAUGGGUUGUAAACUGCUUUUAUGUGGGAAUAAAGUCAGGGACGUGUCCCUGUUUGCAUGUACCACAGGAAUAAGGACCGGCUAAUUCCGUG
rnacentral:rRNA from 1 species